AACAAUUCCCAAGUCCUUUUCAUGUGUUGUUAUCCCUAAUUCGCUUCCAUUAAGGGUAUACGUUGCUUGUGCAUUCUUUACGCCGAAGUGCAUAACUUUGCAUUUUUUUACAUUAAAUUUCAUCUGCCAUUUGAAUGCCCAGUCCCCCGUCUAUCUAAAUCCUUCUGCAGCAAAGUAAUAUCUUGAUAACCUUUCAGAUAUU